ACAGAGGUGCCGAGCGUUAGGCGGAAUCACUGGGCUUAAAGCGUGUGUAGGUGGAUGCCUAAGUACCUUGUGAAAUCCCACGGCUUAACCGUGGAACUGCUCGGUAUACUGGGUGUCUUGAGCCAGCUAGGGGCUACCGGAACAAAUGGUGGAGCGGUGAAAUGCGUAGAGAUCCGGAAGAACACCGGUGGCGAAGGCGGCCUGCUGGGCAGUGGCUGACACUGAGGCGCGACAGCGUGGGGAGCAAACAGGA
rnacentral:rRNA from 1 species